UUCCCUGUGGAAGACUAGUGAUUUUGUUGUUGUAUGGCUCAUCCCACCACAACAAGUCACAGUCUGCCCU
ensembl:miRNA